GUGCCUAACACAUGCAAGUCGAACGAGAAAGUGGAGCAAUCCGUGAGUACAGUGGCGACCGGGUGAGUAACACGUGACUAACCUACCCUCGAGUGGGGGAUAACUCCGGGAAACCGGGGCUAAUACCGCAUAACAUCGCGAGGUGAAAUUCCUUGUGAUCAAAGGAGCAAUUCGUUUGAGGAGGGAGUCGCGUCUGAUUAGCUAGUUGGUGAGGUAACGGCCCACCAAGGCAAUGAUCAGUAGCCGGCCUGAGAGGGCGCACGGCCACACUGGAACUGAAACACGGUCCAGACUCCUACGGGAGGCAGCAGUGGGGAAUUUUGCGCAAUGGGGGAAACCCUGACGCAGCAACGCCGCGUGGAGGAUGAAGUCCUUUGGGAUGUAAACUCCUUUC
rnacentral:rRNA from 1 species